rnacentral:lncRNA from 1 species
UUUUAUUUUCAUGUCUGAUUUUAUUGUGUUAAGUUAGUACGACUUUCACGUUUGUAGGAUUUGAUUUAAUAGGUAAAACACCAGUGUCUCUCUUUGUGCGCAAAAAAAUCCAAAGCUCCUCAAAUUACUCUUCCGCUGUGAUCACCUUCUCUCUUCUCACUGUUAAAGUUGUGCUGGUGGUUGGAAUAAAUCCGACUAUAAAACUUUAGUCUUGAUAUCGAAUUAUUUGGAACUAUAACAUAAGC